rnacentral:misc_RNA from 1 species
UAGAGUUCUUGCCCAGCAGGGUAGAUCUCCCACCCUAUGUUGAUAUACGUUUGUUGCUUUGGCAAGCCUGAUAGACCUUGGUCUAGCCACCGGCUCUAGCGGGUGAGCGCUUGCCAGAGGACCCUAAAACCUUUUUGUAACCAAUUGUCCGAGUAUUAUAUCAAUAAUUAA